CCUACGGGCGGCAGCAGUGGGGAAUAUUGGACAAUGGGGGCAACCCUGAUCCAGCCAUGCCGCGUGUGUGAAGAAGGCCCUCGGGUUGUAAAGCACUUUCAGUGAGGAAGAACGCCUGGUGGUUAAUACCCAUCAGGAAAGACAUCACUCACAGAAGAAGCACCGGCUAACUCCGUGCCAGCAGCCGCGGUAAUACGGAGGGUGCGAGCGUUAAUCGGAAUUACUGGGCGUAAAGCGCGCGUAGGUGGCUUGAUAAGCCGGUUGUGAAAGCCCCGGGCUCAACCUGGGAACGGCAUCCGGAACUGUCAAGCUAGAGUGCAGGAGAGGAAGGUAGAAUUCCCGGUGUAGCGGUGAAAUGCGUAGAGAUCGGGAGGAAUACCAGUGGCGAAGGCGGCCUUCUGGACUGACACUGACACUGAGGGGCGAAAGCGUGGGUAGCAAACAGGAUUAGAUACCCCUGUAGUC
rnacentral:rRNA from 1 species